rnacentral:lncRNA from 1 species
GGCAUUUGUCAUGAGGCCAGGCUGCAUCUGUGCACUAUUAUACUCAAUAUUAAUCUACUGUCAAGCCCCUUGGACACAACAUGAGACUUGUGAAUUGUGACCAUCCUGAACACUCGUCUCUCCUGAUGUGCAUACAUAUGAUGACUCAUAUUAGCCCUUCCAUCUUUAUCCAAGGAAGAAUAGGAGCAUAGUAAGUUAUAUUUAUUCUUGGAGGCCAUACUCUUGGGAACUUUAGCUAACUCUAUUUUACAUGUAACAUUAGUUAGCUUAAUAUUUUGCAUAGUUAACCCUACUAGGCUAACGUGACCUGAUGCAUUCGUUUAUACACACAGAUUUACCUAGCACAAGAAUACUGGAGUCUGUUCCUCUUUACCCACAACAUGGUGCUCAUCAAACUGCAUUUGGCUAGCAUUGUUGCUCUCUCUCUCUCUCUCUCUCUCUCUCUCUCUCUCUCUCUCUCUCUCCCUCCCUCUCCCUCUCCCUCUCCCUCUCGCUCUCCCUCCCUUUCCCCCUCUCCUUCUUUUAUGCAUGUGAGUCUGUGUGCAUGUGCGCAUGCGAGUGAGUGUGUGUGUAUGUGUGUGUGUGUUUGCCAACUUUCAAUUUUCUAAUUCUAGACUGAUUGACACAUUCAAGUUAAUGCCUUGGAAGUUAAUUGCCAUGUCUAUUUUGUCUGUGAUCUGUUUCUUUCAUAUUUCAGUCUCUAAUGUCCUGCUAUAUAUUUUAAGAUUAAACUCUCAGAGGCCAGUCCUUCCAUUCAUCUAACCAUA